rnacentral:piRNA from 1 species
UGGUCUGUAUCUAUUCUGCUACUGCUUUGU